UUUCCCCUGCCAUACUGUGCUGUACCUAACUCGUUAGUAUCCCGCCUGGGGAGUACAUUCGCAAGACUGAAACUCACAGGAAGUGGACGGAAUAAGUUAGCGCCGGACGGUGGCCAUGGAAGUCGGAAUCCGCUAAGGAGUGUGUAACAACUCACCUGCCGAAUGAAUUGGCCCUGAAGAUGGAUGGCGCUCAAGCGUGCUACCCAUACCUCGCCGCCGGGGUAGAAAUGAUGCCCUGGCGAGUAGGCAGGCGUGGAGGCCCGUGACGAAGCCUUGGGGGUGACCCCGGGUGGGACGGGCCUCUAAUACAAAUCUUGGUGGUAGUAGCAAAUACUCAAAUGAGAACUUUGAGGACUGAAGUGGACGGAAUAAGUGAGAGG
rnacentral:rRNA from 1 species